CUUUUUCUUUCUUUCUUUUUUUUUUUUUUUGACAGGAUGGGCUGGGGUUGGGGGAGGAGGAAGCAAGAAUUAAGCAGAGAAGGCAAGCUCCUUUCUGUUCAUCUAACUCAAACUGUUUCCAAGUGUGAACCCAGUGGAGACCUUUUCAAACUGUAGCCAUGAAGCAGGUUGCAUGAGGCAGUUCCAUCUCCUGGCAACUGUCUCCAUAGACACAGCCUGGUUUCGGUCCGCAUCCCUUACCUAGACCCAAGUGACCACCUGGUAAUUACUUCAACAGCAGAGCGACUCAUACAGCCGGCAGUCCACUUUGUUCUUCUAUAGAUCCUGCCUGUGGUGUUGGAUCUAACAGCUUCUUCCCUGACCCAAGAUUAUGAAGGAUUUCUCCUGUGUUCUCUUCUAAAAAUUUUACAUUUAGGUACAUAAUCCAUUUUGAGCUAAUUCUUUUAAAUAGUGCAAAGUAUGGAUUGAAGUUCUUUUUUUUUUUUUUUUUUGCAGAUACAUAUUUAAUUUUUCCAGCACCAUUUGUUGAAAAGACUAAUGUUCUUGCCUGAAUAGCCUUUGCAUUGUUGUUGAAAAUCAUGUUCACACAUGUACACAUUCCACUGAUCUAUUUGCCUCUUUGUGAAAAUACUACUAUUUUGAUUAAUAUAUAUUUAUAGGGAGUCUUAAAAUCAUAUCUUAAAAAGAUAGUGGAAGUUAUUUAACCUUACUCUUGCUUUUAGAAAUUGUUUUGGAUAUUCUAGAUCUUUUGUGUUUCCAUAUAAAUUUUAUAAUCAGUUUGGCAAUUUAUUUAAAAUAUUCUUCUGGGAUUUUGAUGGACAUUACACUGAAUCGAUGGAUCGCUUUGGGGACAACUGACAUCUUAACAAUAUUGAGUCAUCUAACAUAUGAUCAUGGAAAUUGCUCCAUUUAUUUAGAUCUUCUUUCACAUCUUGAAGCAGUGUUUUGCGUUUUCAGUGUAUAGGUAUUUAAUAGAUUUAAAAAUAUGAUCCCUAAAUAUUCAAUGUUUUUGAUGCUAUUGGAAUUUUAAAAAAUUAAUUUCUGUUCUGAGGAAGGAAAAUAAUAAAAGAUUAAACAAGAAAAAUAAAAAUAAUCAAAAUAAAAGAUAAAUCAUUGACAAAUAUAAUAAAAAAUAAAAUAAUAACAAAAAA
rnacentral:lncRNA from 1 species